UGGUUACAGUGUCUUUUUCAGGAAGUUCUGCGGAAGAUAUCGAGAAGGCAAAGGCUUUCUGGAAGUGUAUAAACCUUCCUCCGGAACAGAAGUCUACAUUAGCCGUCAGUGGAAUAAACCACCGUCUAAAAACUGCACCUCAAAUUGGAGAAAGUUCGUUAAAACACUGUUUUUAAACAUCAGUCUUGGAACUAAACAGCUUACCUCUCGUAAAAGAUCGUGUAUUACCCACAACUUCAAAUUGGCGGCCCUGCCGCUUUCUAGAAGCAUGGAAAGUAAACGCUCGCAAUCGAGACGGUGGCAUUCAUCUGCCAAGAAAGAGAUUAGUUGGUAUCUAUCAGAUGCACACAACUUCCCUUGAAAUGGAAAAUGAUCCAAACUUCAUUUAGAGAAGAAGCCCAACAAACACUGGCCAAAAGAAAGGUUGAGAGAUUAAAGAUGUCAUGCAGUGAAUGUGUGUGAUGAUGCAACAUAUUUUCAUCAGAAAAUCAAUGAAGACCUUCAAAUAGGUGGACUAGAUGUUCAAGCAGAAGAAAUAAUUGACAUUAUUGAUGGAUACAAGGGAAAGGGCUAAAUUGGCAAAUCCACUGAAGAAGAGAGGACAUUGUGGAGAUAUCCAGAACAACUGGAAUUAUGGUGGACCCCGUGUACAACGUCAAAGCCAUUAGAGGAAUGCUACACGAGAUGAACACCAACCCAGGGCGAUUUAAGGGUCACAGAAUACUUUAUAUUCAUACUGGUAAAUUGCAACCUUGAGAUCCCAUUUUUGAUCCCUCGUAGAAGUAUCAGUGGUCCGUGACAUGUACUGUGGUUGCAUGUGGAGGUGUGUUCGGUUUGUAUGAUGGAAGAAUGGACCCGUUAGUAACUCGCUCUGCACUGGGUAUAAAUGAUGUUGUCUGCUGGGAAAGUGCGAAUGAUCCCAUGCCAUUCUGAGGCUGACUCGUUCUUAGUUGUCUCUCUUAUUUUAGAUAUUUACGUAGUGCUCGAGAGGUCCGCGUGUAAAAAGAUUUUCGUUCGUUUCUCAUCGUUCCUUUUGUUAAAUAGUGCUAAUCUCUCGCGAAACCCUCGGCCGCGCAAGAAAGACUGGGAACUAGCAAAUUUUAGGGUGGCAAGCAAGAAAGGUCAGUCAAGACAUGCCUACAUUCUCUUUUGGCGUCAGCCAGUAAAAUUGUUCACAAACGAGGAGGUAAUUGCAUCGCAUGGACUUCUCAAACCAUCAGAGGGAAACAGUCUAUGACCAAGGUCUCGUGAGCUCACAUAUCGAAGACGAACACAACAAAUUAUUGGACCGGAAAAAAAUGUUAAAGCCUUUGAAAAUAUAUUCGUGUAAAAGUAUAAAGAUUUAAAGUUUUUAAUUUCGUGUUUGAUUUAUACACUUACAUCUUUGAUUUUACACCAAUAAAACAAAAGGUAACGCUGUACCCGCUUUUCAGUAUAACAAGUUCUAUUUUUGGAUCUAGUUUGA